rnacentral:rRNA from 1 species
AAGUCGUAACAAGGUUUCCGCAGAAUAUAAGUUCUGGAAUGAGUGAUUCUUCCGUGGUGACACUUAUAGAAGCCUCUGCGGGUACUAUCCUUAAGGUUAGUGCUAUUCCUCGCGACUAUAAAUAAGAAGCAAUUUAACGCAAGUCAGUUUACUGGCGACAUAAUCGAAUUGACGGGGAACUCCUAAAGCCUAUAGCACCAUUCUAUCGCUGAAAAGUGGUAUUGACCGGUAAAAGUAUAUAGGAUAUUACAAUGGACAAUCCGCAGCGAAGCUCCUAAGGCAACUAAAUGCUACGGGGAACGUUCACAGACUAAGUGAUUAUGGGCAGUGUUAUUAAGACAUUGUUUAAGAUAUAGUCGGGCCCUGGUAGAAAUUCCAGGGGUUUAAGUCACCCUAAUUAUAAUAGCAUAAAAGUUAUUCUUGUGACAUGCUUGAAAAAACCGUUCCGUAGGUGAACCUGCGGAAGGAUCAUUACAGAGUUCAUGCCCUAACGGGUAGAUCUCCCACCCUUGAAUAUAUAUACCUUUGUUGCUUUGGCGGGUCGCUUCGUCCACCGGCUCCGGCUGGUGAGUGCCCGCCAGAGAACCCUAAACUCUGAAUUAACAUGUCGUCUGAGUACUAUAUAAUAGUUAAAACUUUCAACAACGGAUCUCUUNNNNCUGGCAUCGAUGAAGAACGCAGCGAAAUGCGAUAAGUAAUGUGAAUUGCAGAAUUCAGUGAAUCAUCGAAUCUUUGACGCACAUUGCGCCCNNNNNUUCCGGGGGGCAUGCCUGUUCGAGCGUCAUUAUAACCCUCCAAGCCUCGCUUGGUGUUGGGACAUGCCCUNGGGCAGUCCUNAAAUCAGUGGCAGUNCUGCCGGCUCUAAGCGUAGUAAUUUCUCUCGCUAUAGGGCCCGGUGGAACACGCGCCAGAACCCCCAACUUUCUAUGGUUGACCUCGGAUCAGGUAGGGAUACCCGCUGAACUUAAGCAUAUCAAUAAGCGGAGGAAAAGAAACCAACAGGGAUUGCCUCAGUAACGGCGAGUGAAGCGGCAACAGCUCAAAUUUGAAAUCUGGCUCUUUUAGGGUCCGAGUUGUAAUUUGUAGAAGAUGCUUUGGGUGUGGCUCCGGUCUAAGUUCCUUGGAACAGGACGUCAUAGAGGGUGAGAAUCCCGUAUGUGACUGGUCGCCUUCGCCCGUGUAAAGCUCUUUCGACGAGUCGAGUUGUUUGGGAAUGCAGCUCAAAAUGGGUGGUAAAUUUCAUCUAAAGCUAAAUAUUGGCCAGAGACCGAUAGCGCACAAGUAGAGUGAUCGAAAGAUGAAAAGCACUUUGGAAAGAGAGUUAAACAGUACGUGAAAUUGUUGAAAGGGAAGCGCUUGCAACCAGACUUGCGCGUGGUUGAUCAUCCGGUGUUCUCACCGGUGCACUCUGCCGCGCUCAGGCCAGCAUCGGUUUUGGUGGUUGGAUAAAGGCCCAAGGAAUGUAGCUCCUCUCGGGGAGUGUUAUAGCCCUGGGUGCAAUGCAGCCUACCGGGACCGAGGACCGCGCUUCGGCUAGGAUGCUGGCGUAAUGGUUGUAAGCGACC